UUGCACGACGCACCCCGGGCUACUCUGAUUUAUCUCCAUGACGGUGAUAGCCCCAUUGCUCGUGCUAGAGUGCAGCCGUUUAGUGUUGCAGGUUUGCCUUGCUUCCACGGCUUAUCUGUGUCAAAAUAACGGCGAGAUUC